rnacentral:rRNA from 1 species
UACGUAGGGGUCGAGCGUUGUCCGGAGUUACUGGGCGUAAAGCGCAUGCAGGCGGCUCAUUACGCAUGGCGUGAAAGCCCCCGGCUCAACCGGGGAGGGUCGUCGUGAACGGGUGAGCUUGAGGGUAUCAGGGGCUGGUGGAAUUCCCGGUGUAGUGGUGAAAUGCGUAGAGAUCCGGAGGAACACCAGUGGCGAAGGCGACACGCUGGGCCUGACCUGACGCUGAGAGGCGAAAGCAUGGGGAGCGAACGGGAUUAGAUACCCCGGUAGUCCCUGA